rnacentral:rRNA from 1 species
UGGGGAAUAUUGGACAAUGGGCGCAAGCCUGAUCCAGCCAUGCCGCGUGAGUGAUGAAGGCCUUAGGGUUGUAAAGCUCUUUUACUCGGGAAGAUAGUGACGGUACCGAGGGAAUAAGCCCCGGCUAACUUCGUGCCAGCAGCCGCGGUAAUACGAAGGGGGCUAGCGUUGUUCGGAUUUACUGGGCGUAAAGCGCACGUAGGCGGAUCUUUAAGUCAGGGGUGAAAUCCCGAGGCUCAACCUCGGAACUGCCUUUGAUACUGGUUAUCUUGAGUCCGGGAGAGGUGAGUGGAACUGCGAGUGUAGAGGUGAAAUUCGUAGAUAUUCGCAAGAACACCAGUGGCGAAGGCGGCUCACUGGCCCGGAACUGACGCUGAGGUGCGAAAGCGUGGGGAGCAAA